AGCUGGGCUGGGCCAGGUAAGCGUCAGGUAAGAGUUUUCCCUUUUUUUCUGAUUUGUUUCUGUUUUGCUAUUUCAUUAACUUGCUAUUUAUUUCAUCUCCCAAAUAGUUUGUAAAAACUAUUUUAAACACACCAGAAUAUUUCUUGGAAUAUUUCCAACCAUUCCCAAACUUUUCAAUAUUUUUGAAAGUUUAAAGUUUCUGAUUUCAAAUUUAAAACUUGAAACCAGUAGCUUUUUGCAUUUAUUUAAAAUGCUUGAAGUGUCAAGAAAAUGGUUUUCUUCAUUACUAAUUUACUUUCAUGAUUUAUCAAAAAGAUUGAACUUUUCUUGAGGCCAUUUUGGGUUCACUGAUUUUAACUAGUUUGAAUUUUCCUUUAUUUUGAGAAGUGGCUAGGGUUUUUAGAAUUUUCCUUCACCACUUGCUUUGUUCUUGUUGAGAAUUUCCUAGAUGGAAUGCAAAGAAAACAUGAGCACAAAGCUAACUUUCUUAAGGUGUCAGGGAUGUGACACCUAGUGACAAGCAUUAAGCAUGGAAAAGUAGUAGCAACAUCAAUCUAAGAACAUAGUGGAUACUAGGGAUCAAUCCCCAUCAAAACUAACUCGAUUACCUGAUAGAUCUCAUCCUACUCAUCACCGCCCAGCGAGCCUAUGAAUAGAUUACUCACGAAAGACGAAGAGCUUCAUGGAAUUGGAGAGGGAAGAAGGUUGAUGAUGACGAUGGAGACAAUUUCCCCUCUCCGGAGCCCAAGACAGACUCCAAAUUUGCCUUCCAGAUGAAGAACAGGAGCUGGUGGCGCCUCCGUAUCGAAAACGCGACGAAAACUUCUCUUUUUAUUUUUUCUGGAACGAAAGGCAACUUAUAGAGCUGGAGUUGAGGGCGACAGGUGCCUGUGAGCCCCACAAGCCUGCCCACCGCCACUAGGUGGUGGUGGCGGAGCAGCGGCUUGUGGCCCACUGGGCCACCCCCUGAGGUGGAACUUGCAGAUAUUUUUGAUAUUUUCCAAAACUGCUCCCCGUAAAUUUUCAAGACGUUUGGAGAACUUUGAUUUCUGCACAAAAAUAACACCAAGGCAAUUCUGCUGAAAACAACGUCAGUCCAGGUUAGUUCCAUUCAAAUCAUGCAAAUUAUAGUCCAAAACAAGGGCUAAAGAGUUUGGAAAAGUAGAUACAUUGGAGACGUAUCACGUAGGCCCGUGGGUUCGUGUCGGUGCACUAGACUUGUGCACGGGCACCAGCAACACACUUGGCAGCAAUACACGAAGAAGGACAGUCGGGAAGAUACCCCAGGCUCGCCAAGACCACACCCCACCAAAGGUGUGAAGAACCAGCCCAAGCUACAAGGCCCUGGCAAGCCCUCCUUGCCGGGAAGACCCACAAGGCCCCAGCAAGCCCUCCUUGCCGGGAAGACUUGCAAGGCCCCGGCAAGCUCUCCUUGUUGGGAAGACGUCCAAGGCCCCGACAAGCCCUCCUUGUCAGGAAGAAGGGCUAGGCCGCAGACAAGGACGCCAGGACAGCAGGCUCCCUUCGCCCGCCAGGUGUCCCUCCUGUCACAGUGCCACUGACUUCACCGCCCCAGCGAAUCCCUCAUGCACCAGCACAAAGCCCAGGUGUCAAUACACAUGGGUACGUGUCGAAGCCACCUUGAUGCUCAUCAAGGGGCCUGAUAAGUCAUUUAGUGCCCCUGACACUUCAGUAGAUAGAUAAGCGGUGAACCCUGUUCACUAAGCAGCUCGUGACCACACUGUUGGUGACCCCUUUGCCUAUAAAAGGAGGCCCAAAGCUCAUUUCUAGUGGUUGGACCUUUUGGUGUUGGACCAUUUGGGGUUUAGACUCUUUGGUCACCAGCUAAUUACUGUAGCAAAUAACCCUACAGUAAGCACCCAAUACAAACAAAGCAUGAGUUGGGUUUUACGCGCCAAGCGGCCCGAACCUGGGUAAACGACCUUGUCGGUGUUGAUCUCUAGUUCCGCUCUUGGCGCCACCUCUCUCCCUCCACCAAACGAUUAAGGGAUCCUUAGAGUAUCCCAUAGGUGUCAUUUUCCCAACAAUACGUAUGCUUGAGUGUAUGCAUCUAAAUAUAAUUUUUAUAACAUAAUAUUUUCAAAAAAAAUCCUUUUUCUCAUUUUUUUAACUCAAAACCUUGCUUCGGUGUUUGGAGUACAAGUACCUGAUUUCGAGUGUGUGCCUUCACCCAAAUAUUGUAUUCACAUUCUAGCACUAUUAUAACUGUCCAAAAUAAUAAAAUAAUUAUUUUAUAAAUAUUUUCCUAUUUUAUUUGCAUGUCCUUUUCUGAGGCCAGAAAUGAUAUUUUCGAGUGGGAAAUUAUUUUUCUACCUUAGAAAAAUCUGAGAAAAUUUGGAGAUACUUAGAGGACAUAUAUUUUCCAUACAUAAGAUUUUCAACCCCUAUUUAUGUAAAGAAUAUUUGAGCAAACCAUUAAAAACCUAUUAUGCUUGUUUUGACCUUUUGAAAUAUUUCCAAAGGAAAUAUUCUCAAUACAUAACCAGAAAAUUCUAGCAUGUACCCCAACCUAUAUUUGGUGAUCAUGCCAAGUUUCACAUCAUUCCAAGGUGGUUUGGUUCACCAAAUAAUCCUAAAAUCCUUCAUGUCCACAUUCAAGUUGAAGCAAUUCUACAUUACAAAGUUUGUCCGAAUGGCCUAAAACUUUCCAGGAGUGCUCAAUACCCCAAAUGAGGGGAUCUUGCCAAGAAUUGGAUGUGUGGGGAUUAAUUUGCUCACAUUUUCCUCUUAUAAGGCACAACUAUCCAUUUGGGGGUGUUUUCAAGUGUAGGCUACUAAACUUAUCCAAUGGAUUUGUCCCAAACGCAAAUCAAAUACCUUCAGCCAGAUUGGUCAAACAACAUCUAGCACUCUCUACACCCACACCCUUCACUCCAAACUCCUAGCAUAGACUGCCAUCACCACUCCUCAACUGCACACGAUUGACCCCUCCCUGGUUCAAAGUGAGCGAACCAAAAAACCAAUGUAGCUCCUAGUUCAAUGCUGGCAAACUUCUUUAAGCAGCUCCCUUUGACCAGCACUAGUUCUCUCGGUUCCUAGCAACUGAAGGGCAUCUAACCCAACCCACAGACACACCAGACAUGGCCAAACACGCCAGAGCGUGCCAGCAUGUCGUGGCAUGCCAAAGCUGCGCUCUAGACGCGCUACAGAGCACACCCGAGGCUAGGGAGGCCAGCCCCGGCCGGUUCUCACAUCCCCACGAUGUCUCUCCUCACCCACGACAAAGACCUGACUCGGGGCAGCCACAUGGCCACUUCUCCCCUCUGCAUUGAUGCACGCAACGCGUGCCCGCGCGUGCCCCGUUUGGUCAGGAGGACGCGGACGCACAGCACGCUUGCACAGCCACCCCUGCUCCUACUGUUGCGUCCGUGGAAGUCCUAAACCACGUCCGCAAACCGUGGUUUCGGCCCCGAGCCCUCUCUCGCUCUCCUGCAGCCGUGGCAAAAACCACCGGCACUCCCCCACUUGGUGCCCCAUCACUAGCCUAUAUAUAGGCCUCCCACCUCAUUCCAGCACCUCACACCUCUCCUCCCAACCUCCAAUCGAGCACCUAGCAUCCUCAUUUGAGCAAGGAGAGCCCCGAUUCACGAAAUCGACCGAGGCGCUGCCGCUUCGGAGCUCCAUUGAUCUCGGCCUAAAAGCCUGCUCUCAAGCUCCUCUCUCAUUCCUAGUGACCGCAGCGAGCUCAGAGACCUUCUGCACCACUCCCCCGAGCUUCUCUCCGCUCGGAACGCUCUCCUCCACCUCAACCCAAAGCUCCUCCGCUGUGGUCUCAUUGUCGCCGGUGACGCAGGCCCUCCCCAUCAGUCUUUCGACCCACACUAGGUAGGCGGAGAUGCCACGACCUCGUUUAUGUGCUCAGUUGGCCACGAGUACAUCGAAGUCGCCACCGGCGUGCCUCCCCUCCUCUCUGUGUGGAGGUGUGAGAUGACCCUGACUGGGGGUCCCACCUGUCGGUGGCCAGUCUCUCCCACUCUCUCCCCUUUGUGCCGUUGACCGCAGGAGCCCGCGCGUUAGGUACAAACCUGACAGCGUGCGCGCCUCGGCUGGCUGGUUGGUUGGCUGGCCGAUUGGCCAGUUGAGCCGACCCAGCUGAUGGCCGAGUCAGUCCAAGGGCUGAGCCCUUUUUCUUUUCUUUUACAAACUGGUUUUUAGAUUAUUUCUACAGGAUAAAUUAUUUCAUCAAAUUUAAAUAUUUUUCCACCAUAAUUCUUCUAAAAAUAUGUAGAAUUUAUUAAUGUUGUUGUACAAAUUUUUACAAAGACUUUUCUGCACAGCUUGAAUUAAAAACCUAGUUUGAGUAUUUUUAGCUUCUCUUAAUAAGACUUUUAAAAUAUCUUUUUACUUCAAAAACAGAAACGAACAAUUUUAAAACUAAAGCUAGAAUUUCCCAGAGUAGGUUAAAAUUUUUCAAAUGAGUUUGUCCUCUAUUUGUGAGUGUGCUUAUUAUUAUUAUAUUUAUUAUGAUGAUAGAACAUGCUUUGGACGAAGGACUUGGACCCGAAGACCUCGAAGACCCCGGAUACCUAGCUGAUCAAGCCAAGCAACCAUUUGACCAUGUCUAAGAAAAUGAUUUAUGCAUGACAUGUUGAUUAUUUUAUUCUGAUGCAUAUAGUCAAGAUUAAUCGGUACACCCCGGCAUGGUGUUACGGAUGGCUCCUCCGGAGCACUUGCAUUGAGCAUGACCUUACCAUCUAUGAGGGUCACGUUGAUAAAUGUUGACAAGUAGAUAGUAGUGCUACGCAUAGGAUGAGCAUAUGCAUGGUGAUGGUAACACAGAGUUGAUAUCAAAGGUUUUACGAAAACCCCGUCGGGUACCACUAAUGCCCGAGGGUGAUGGUGUUGAGCUGGAUGACCACUUGAGAAAGAAGUGGUGUACCAAAAAGAUUUUGUGUGAUUGGUUUCGGAAAGUGGAUUAGAUUUAUGAUGUGUCGACCAUCCCAACCUUACAUGUGCGACCACAAUACCCCUUUAUGGGAAGGGGCUUUGUUAAUUACUUUGGUCGGUGCUAGCAAAGAGCCCGCAUUACUAGUGGCGGGAGUGAUGUGGCCACUCUCGUGAUGGGGUCAUACUAGGUAGGUCCACUAUGUCAUUUCUACGUGUUCCGGGCACACCGUUGGCCCUGCAUGGAUGAUACGGUCCAGAGGUUGUGCUCGUAAGACGUACAUCAUGUGGGCUGGAUACCAAUCGAGUGGACUCUUUUUCUAGUGUCAUCAAGGUAAAGGCAAUGAUCGGGUACUUACCUCGGGUAUGUUAUAUACCGCGAUUCGUGGAUGACACGGAAGUUUCCGGAUCUCGUGGGUACAACGUACAACCUUUGCAGAGUGUCAAACUAUUCGAAUAGUCGUGACCACGGUCAAGGACAGUUUGGUAAUCCUGCUUAAACUACGUCCAGUCCUUUCCGCAUAAACCAAGUGAGUGUGUGUGUGUGGUUGAGAAAGAUAAUAUUGUCAAGUCCGAUGACUUGGCACAUAGGGUGAACCUCUGGUGUUCAGCCCGCAGUAGAUAUGAUGAUAUUUGAGACCGUUAUCAUGAUUACCAUCUAGCUUAUGAUGCAUAUCCGUAUAUGUAUUUGACCAUGCUCAUUUUAAUUAAAAAUUGUUUUUUGCAAAGGUUGCAUAUUACUUUAUUUUUGCACCAACUGCAUUAUCCAUAUCAUGGGGUGUUUGCGAGUACAUUCAAUGUACUCACUGGCUUGCUACUGGUUAUUUUAUUGAUCAGACAUGGAGGAACCAGAGUAUGGAGAAGAAUUCAUCGUCGGAGACGGACACGCGAACUAGGACGCUUCCCAGUUAGAAUGCCUGUUGGUUAAGGCUGAUGGCAUAGGUUCCCGUUUAAUACCAAGUAUUCAACUAGUAGUUGUGUUGGUAUGAUUGUCCUUCUAAUACCUAUCUAUGUAAGACUUUACCAUGAUGGUCCUUUAUUGUAUCAGACAUUAAUUUCGGAUGUAAGACUCUUGUUAUUCAGCAUUUGUGUGUUCAGUGAGCAUUGAUCUCUAGGAUCACUGUACACGUGCAAUCAGUGAUCUCGACGCAUAAGUCGGGGUCCCCAUAGACAUUUUGUUGUUUAUGUAUCGAUACAUGUAUCAAAGUUUGUGAUCAAUACAAUUCUAGCAUGGAUAAUAAACAUUUUUCAUGAA
rnacentral:lncRNA from 1 species